rnacentral:sRNA from 1 species
AUACUUUUUAUAUUAACACACACACAUAUCGACACAUACACUUGGGUGCAGGUAAUUACAUAUUACGUGUUGGUGCUAUGGGAUAUGUGGAGGCCUAAC